CCGGCCCUGAAUCAAGGCCAGCGGUUUGAUGGAGCCGCUGGUUUCAAACAGGAGCCUAAAGAAACGUCUUCCACUGGUCUGUUGGCUGUCCUAGUCCCCGAGCGGGGGGCGGCCGAUUCGUUUGGAAGACACAGCC